AAAAACAUAGUCUUUAGCCAAACAAGUAUUAAAGGUCAUGCCUGCCCAGUGAACCUAAUGGCCGCGGUAUCCUAACUGUGCAAAGUUAGCGUAAUCACUUGUCUUUUAAAUAAAGACUCAUAUGAAUGGUUAAAUGAGGAUAGCCCUGUCUGUGAAACUGAUCUCCAAGUACAAAAGCUUGGAUUUACCCAUGACAAGAAGAUCAUGUGGAGCUUAAAAUAACACUAUUAUAAACAAUAGAACAUUUUAAGUUGGGGCGAUUUCGGAAUAAAAAAGAACUUCCGAGCAUGGAGUCAACAACUCUGACCUAGACCAACAAGUCAAACUGACCCAGUCUUGCUGAUCAACGAACCAAGUUAACCCAGGGAUAACAGCACCAUCUUCUUCAAGAGAUCCUAUCGACAAAAAGGUUUACGAAGUUGAAGUUGGAUCAGGACACACAAAUGGUGCAGCAGCUAUUAAAGGUUCAUUUGUUCAAUGAUUAACAGUCCUACGUGAUCUG
rnacentral:rRNA from 1 species